rnacentral:misc_RNA from 1 species
GGAUGUUUAAUUCCAGGCAAUGGGUGUCCCCGGCUGUACCAAACCAAAUUGAGGCCUAUUUGAGCUUGGAGUCGGAGAAAAGGAUUGUUGGGAACUUUGGGACAUAUGAAUCUGCAUCUGCAAUUUUGGGAGUGUCCAAUGCGGAAAAGUUGCAGGAGUUGAGGCGUUCAAGACCUAAAAGGGCAAAGCCCGUGAUUCCUGGACCCUUUCCUCCUAAAGGACGACUGAUUGAACACUCAAAGGAGAUUCGUCUUUGGGCUGUAAAGCUACCUUCUGCAGAUUCUAUUGUUGUUCGAAGAACUCUUGCAACACUGACAGAAAACCCCCAAGGUCUUCCUGGGGUUAAUGAGAGUGCUGAACAUAUUAAAAAGAGAGAGGCUUUCUGGUCAAUGAUGAAGCCUGCCCAUUUUGGGGUGAAGCUUGCCUCUAAAACUCUAUCGGGUGUCAUUCGGUUUAUAACAGUUGGCGUGUUCAUGGGUCUAUUGGGUGGAAAUGCUAUUGGGAGGUGGCUUCUAUUUAAAUUUCCAUCUUUUUUU